rnacentral:tRNA from 1 species
GUUUUCGUAGUUGAAUAACAACAGCGUUUUUUCAAGUCGCAGGUCCUGGUUAAAGUCUUGGCGAAAAUC